rnacentral:lncRNA from 1 species
GCUCUGCUGCUUCAAGCCUUUGGCAUCCAGUGCCUUGUACUUAAUGAAAGUUUGCAACACUCUGAGCAACUGUUCUCAGUUCUUCUGCCUUAUUUCUGGCCUCCGUUGCAACUGUUUUGACCUAGUGAAGGCCUAGACUUUCUCAGACAGAUUUCUUUUAACUCUUCUGCCCUGACUCCAGUCUUCACUGGGAUGCUGCCUUGCACUUAGGGAAGGUUCACAUGCCUCAAGGAUCUCUCUCUCUCAGAUUUCUUGACUUUCCCUCAGUCUUCAGUAUAGUCCUCCUCUGUGCCUGGUGAAGACCUGUGGUAAAGUGCUGGCAGAGCUGCCGGCUUCCCCUUGAAGGAAUAGGAGUAGACCUGCUGAACUAUCACAUGAGAGAAGAGGCCCAAAAGCUUGCACACUACAGUCAAGCUGGCCCUUAAAGAGAUGGACCUAGAAGAUGCUGAGCCAGAUGUACUCAAUUACUUCUCCAAAAUUCAUCAAUUAGGAAUACAACAUGUUUAAGACCACAGAACAUCUGCAUAGGCUGUAAAUUUCGUUGAAUGAUGGAUGCAAAGAUGGAAGACAGAUGGAUAGAGGAAAAGACAGAAUCAGAUACUGGAUGAGUUAGUACUGCUGCCUGUGCUUCAGAGCUGUCUUAUUACCACAAGGCCGGCAAGCAUCAAUGUCCCCACAUCCCCCUCUGCCUCCCCCUGAAAUGUACCGAUUUAUAUGAAAAUUAAGAUUACAAAUUAAAGCCUGGCUAUCCUGGAGUUUUCCAGUUCAUCAGCCAUCCAAUAAAAAUGAUGUCAAGCCUGUAUGCAUAAUUCCCGGAAGAUUACUUUCGUCCUUACAGCUAAGCCCUGUCCCUGAUAUGAAAGAUCUCUAUCCACUUUUAUUGAAAUAAAGAACUAACAUCAUAAUCCCAAUAUUGAGGUAUAAUCUUCAUUAUC